rnacentral:rRNA from 1 species
GAUGAACGCUGGCGGCGUGCUUAAUACAUGCAAGUCGAGCGAACAGACGAGUAGCUUUCUCCUCUGAUUUUAUCGCCAGACGGUUGAUUAAAACUUAGUUAACUGACCUCUAAUCCUGGGUUACUUCCUGGAAACCCGGGCAAUUCCCGGUUUAUAUAUUGAUCCGCAUGGUUCUGUAGUGAAAAACUUUUUUUUUGUCACUUUUAGAUGGAUCGGCGCCGCAUUAGCUAGUUGGUAUGGUAACGGCUUUCCAAGGCAACGGUGCGUAGCCGACCUGAGAGAGUGGUCGGCCACACAGGCACUGAGACACGGUCCAGACUCAUACGGGAGGCAGCAGUAGGGGAUGUGCCGUGAUGGGCGGAAGGCUGACGGAUGAACGCCGCGUGAGUGAUGAAGGUAGGCGUAUCGGAAGAGACUGUUCUUAGGGAGGAACAAAUGUGUAAGUAGUUAUGCACGGCUUGACGGUACCUGAGUAGAAAGCCACGGCUAACUACGUG